UACGAAGGGUGCUAGCGUUGUUCGGAAUUACUGGGCGUAAAGCGCGCGUAGGCGGCUUGUCAAGUCAGGGGUGAAAUCCCACAGCUUAACUGUGGAACUGCCUUUGAAACUAGCAAGCUGGAGUGUCGGAGGGGAUAGCGGAAUUGCUAAUGUAGAGGUGAAAUUCGUAGAUAUUAGCAGGAACACCGGUGGCGAAGGCGGCUAUCUGGACGACAACUGACGCUGAGGCGCGAAAGCGUGGGGAUCAAACAGG
rnacentral:rRNA from 1 species